UACGAAGGGUGCAAGCGUUACUCGGAAUUACUGGGCGUAAAGCGUGCGUAGGUGGUGAGUUAAGUCUGUCGUGAAAGCCCCGGGCUCAACCUGGGAAUGGCGAUGGAUACUGGCUCGCUAGAGUGCGGUAGAGGAGAGUGGAAUUCCCGGUGUAGCAGUGAAAUGCGUAGAGAUCGGGAGGAACAUCGAUGUGAGAGGGCGCUCUCGUGACCAGCACUGACACUGAGGCACGAAAGCGUGGGGAGCAAACAGG
rnacentral:rRNA from 1 species